ensembl:lncRNA
UGGGAGUGUGGCUUGCCCACCAGGCUCCCAGAAGCCUGGAGAGCUGUUAUUCCAGAACCCGAUAAGUGCCUGGGUGGGGCCAAGAUAGGGGCAGCUGUUUGAAGUCCAGAGUGAUAACCGCUUCAGAGAAAGCUGAUAAGAGCUGGAGACGCCCCGGCUCGGUGUGCCUCUUGCCAGCCACGGCCUGCGCUGCCCCGAGCCCACGCAGCGGAGCGUGCGUCCCCGGUCCCCGUGGCCCUGCUGGGCUCUGCUCUGCCGCCCAGGGCUGCUGGCAUUCCCCUUCCCACUCCUCUCUGCCAGCCAUCGGGCGUCCUUCCCAAACGCACUCACACAUUCUUCAUCCGCGGAACACAUGUUUCCUGGGAGCCCCUCUGCACUGGCACAGCUGGGGCACGGAGCCACCACCAGGCAGGGCCUGCACUCAGGGUGUCGGGGACCAACCACUCCCCAGUGAUUACAGGGUGACAUGGGAGCAUGUGUGGAGGGUCACACGGGAGAUGAGCAGACAGCUGUAGAUAUGGCGGUCGGGAUAGCCUCUCUGCAGUCUUGGAGGACCAGGAGUGGUGGUGAGCAAAACCUUCUGCGAGGAGAGCACGUGCAAAGGCCCCAGGCUAAAGGAGAUCUUUUCAGGGCUAAAGGUGGCUCUCAGAACUGCCGAGAGGGCCCAAACAGAGUCUCGACUCCGCUUGCAGGAAGGACCAGCGCAGAGCAGGGCCCUGUGCAGACCUGUCUCAGCCGAGGCCCGCUGCCCGGGGCUUGGACCCCACCUCCUUGGACGCACCGGCCGGUGUUGGUCUGCAAGGAGCCUCCACUGUCAGAAGCGGGGCUGGCUUCAGUCUUCACUUCAGAUGCUUUCGUGCUGCUCUGCUUUUAAUUAAACCAGCCGCAGGCAGCUUUGCCCGCUGCCGCCUCUUUCUGCGUCAGGUGCAGCGUCUUACACUCAGCACGUCCUGCCCGGCACACCACAUCACCCGCCGCCUCCAGCCAUGCGCCCACCCCAGGCCUCUCCCACCCACCCUCCGUCCUGCAGCCCCCGAGCCUCUGACCUCAGCACCCUCAGCUCCUGAGGGUCUCCACUGCCCUCAGGACCGAGCCUGGACCCUGACUGUGGACGUCUCUGGUUGCCUCCUUCCUACCCGGUAGCCACACCCCACGCGUGGGCUUGUUGGACCCCUCUCCUGUCUCUGGACUUUUUCAAUGAUAUUCCCUCUGCUGGGAAAGCCCAUCUUUCCGGUGAACUCCUACCCUACCCUAUGGACAUGUCAGCUUAGCGACACCUCUUCCAGGAAGCACACCAUGAUCACACCUCCUGUAUAGAGCUCGGUGCCUCAGAGCAUUGAAAUCGCCGGUGUUCCCAGCCAGACUGUGAGCGCCCCGAAUGUGAGGGUGGUGGCUUUGCUGCUUCAGGCCAACACCCUGUAGAGCCGGAGGACGUUCAGUGCCUGUGACGUGACUGGAUUAAUGAGCGCAGCCUGAGCUCACACAGCAAGGACGUGCCACACGCACAUGGCAGGCACUCUCCUUCGUGUGGGCUGUGUCUCUGCACACUCUGGCUCCAGGAUUUUUUCAAGUUUUAUUGAGGAAUCAUUGACGUCCAAUAAUCUGCACACAUAUAAAUUGUACAAAUUGAUAAAUUUUGACAUUUGCAUACACCCCCGGAACUAACAGCACAAUCAAAGCUGUGGAUAGGGACUUCCCAGGUGGUCCAGUGGUUAGGAAUCCACCUUGCAAUGCAGGGGAUGCGAGUUCCAACCCUGCUUGGGGAACUAAGAUCUCAUGUGCCGCGGGUCAACUAAGGCCUCGGGCUGCACCUGGAGAAGCCUGGGUGCAUCGUGAAGACCUGGAGCAGCCCGGCAACGACAACACCCAAACCCGCAACGCGCUGGUUAGAGCCGAAGGCACGAGCUGACACCGGGCCGCGGAGCACUGACCCUGACUCAGCGGAAAGGAACGGAUUUGCCCAGAUGCUUCCAUGUACGAGCCAGCUGCAUAGCUCCGCCAUUAAAACGCACUCUGAUCAAGCGAUCUUGCACAGGAAACUCACCUCAAGCUUACAACAUAAAAGCCAGGGGAAAAUGACGGCCUCUCUGUGGCUGUCACCGUCGGGAACUUCACGGGGGUGGGGGGAGGGGAGCCGAGGCCCCAGGGCGCCCGCUGUCUGCACCACCACCCCGCGUGCGCCCUCGGGCCUUGGACCGGUCAGCUGGCGAGGCGCGCGUGGUUCGCACCAGUUCUCCCGCUAUCUAACCAGAGGCCACGAGGCCUUUACGCAUUCUCCUCUUCCAGGGUGGAGUGGGAAAAUCCCUGCAGGAGCAGUGACCACGCCUCCUUUUCCAGGAAAAUCCGGACCUACUCGUCCUCUCCCCUCUCACUUCUCAGUGUCCACCACCACCCGGGGUGCGGCAAACCGCAUCAUGCAGCGUCAGCGCUCCGCAUAACGCGGGAGUUUAUCUUUGCCUGUGAUUAUGAUGUCCACCCGAGAGUACUGCUUACCUUUCUGGAUCUCUUCUAGUUCUGGAAUCAUUCUCACACCUGUCAACAUGCAGCUGCUGGGUUGUGUGGCUGCGACCAGUCCGUGAACCAGGCUUGCACCAGGGCCGAGCCAGGGACACCGUGAUCACCCUGACCUGAUCACCCAGCCAUUUGUUUUUUGGCUGCACUGCGUGGUAUGCGGGAUCCUAGUUCCCCACCCAGGGCUCAAACCUGCGCCCCCUGCAGUUAUAGCACAGUUAACCCAGAGUCAGCCCACAGAAUCUUAACCACUGGACCACCACAGAAGUCCUCCUGGCCUGCAAUGGUGGCCUGGCUCUUGGCCCCUGACCUCUCCACUUUUCUUUUUUAAACUUAUUGUUACUAUAAUUUACUUUAUUUUUUGGCUGCACCUCAUGGCAUGUGGGAUCUUAGUUCCCCAACCAGGCUUGAAUCCUGCAGUGGAAUCAUGAAAUCUUAACCACUGGACUGCCAGGGAAGUCCCUUCACUUCUUUUGUGAAGAACUUCAUGCACAUAAAAAAUAAAAUAUUGACAUCAAAUAAAAUGUGUAUGUCUUUUCUCCUGUAAUCUGUCUUUCUUUCCCUAGUUUGAGUUGCAGAUACCAGGCGCUGAACGUAAGAGGGUACAGGAAGAAUUUUUCCUCUCCUACACUGUCACCAAGAUUGGCGUCAGGAGCAGCAGGAGAGGCAGAAAAUGCUGCCAGAAAGAGUCCCUGAGGCUUAAAUCCUUUAAAGACCUCUCAGCAAGGCUUGUCCUUCCUCCUGUGGGAUAAGACCUGCCCCAGAGGCCAUUAAACAGGAGCACAGGUUAGGUCCUUG